GUGAUAAUUUAUCCACUGAACUAGAAGCACAUGGUUUGCAGAACAUUGGCUACAAUAAGAACAUACUCUGCAUCAGAGAGGGUUCAACAUCAACAACAAUGUCUGCAAAAACAGAAUUACAGCUGUGAAGAAGAGAGAAGGGAUUAAGUCACAAAUGAGGAGCUGCAGUGGCCCAUGAACAAUACAUAGAUCCAUCUCCUGGAACUUGUGACCACUCGCCCAGGAUCGCACUCAUGACCACAACAAAGAUGAUGGCUUUUCUGUUUCUCCUGUUGCACCACAUCAGACACCUGCAGCAAAUACUGAGGCGACACUAUGUGAAGUCUGCCUAGUGACUCUUAGAAACUCCAACUAAUGACUUCUCUGGGAGGGAUAAAGUUGGGCACAUAAAAUUAUCUUGUUGAGAAUACAUGGGUACAUUUAUAGUCUCACAUAUAUUUCAUUUAUAAAUUUAAAAUUAUUUUAGACAGUUACAAUUUUUGGAGUAAAAAUAAGUAGAAUAAUAUCAUUUAAAUAAUACUUUUAAACUUUUUCAUAUUUUUUCUGAAUACCUUGAUUAACAUUUAUUUGGUCACAUUAUUUGUCCCAUUUUUUAAAAAGAAGGACAAUAGGCUAUGAGAAAGUAAGUACAUUUGAGUUCCAAUUAUUCUUAAUAUGUUGUAUCAUAGUAUUUCAUUUGCAACGAAGUCAGUUACACAGCAAACUAACCAACUGCAUAAAUAAAAAUAAUAAUAUGAAACUAGAAAUUGACAUUUGAAACUCUUAACUACCAUCAGUACCAAAUAUACUUUUGGUUAUCUUGUCAAAUUAUAGGGAUGAGUGGCUGAGACCAUGCCGGUAUGUUUGUUAGGGUUGAAUGGAGUGCUAGAGUGUUGCUAUUGGCCUUGAAAUAGAUUGAUUUUUUUUUCUUUUUUUUUUUUGCCUUCUACCUGGGGUCAUGGUCUCUGCCUUACUUGCACAGGGUCCUCAUUAUCAAAGCAGAUUAUCUGACACAUAUUAUACAAUAUGUUAAAUAGCUUACUUUAAAUAUACACACUUUCACCAUAUUCAAACGUGAGUACUCAGAACUUAAAAA